rnacentral:rRNA from 1 species
AGUGAACGCUGGCGGUAGGCCUAAUACAUGCAAGUCGAACGGCAGCACAGUAAGCUUUCUCCUUUACCGCUGGCGGGUGGCGGGUGGGUGACGCAUACAUCAGCUUCUUCUUUUUCUUGGGUGACUUCGUGAGGCCAGUUCCGCUACUGCCUCAUAUUUCGUACCGCUUAAUUCGAUAGUUCUUCAUACCUUUCCUGUCUCUUUUAGCUGAUGUCGGAUUAGCUAGUUGGGUGGGUAAAGGCCCACCAAGGCAACGAUCCGUAGCUGAUCUGAGAGGAUGAUCAGCCACACUGGAACUGAGACACGGUCCAGACUCCUACGGGAGGCAGCAGUGGGGAAUAUUGGGCAAUGGGCGAAAGCCUGAUCGAGCAAUACCGCGUGGGUGAAGAAGGCCUUCGGAUUGUAAAGCCCUUUUGUUGGGAAAGAAAAGAAGCAGGAUAAUACCCCGCUGUUCUGACGGUACCCAAAGAAUAAGCACCGGCUAACUUCGUG